rnacentral:lncRNA from 1 species
AAAAAAAUCCUCAUAUCUCUCUCCUGGUAACAAUAAGAUCUGACAGCUCACAAAAUUUCACACACACGUUAUCACUCACUCACCCUCCUUCCUUAUCUCGCCACGCGUCUCACACACUCCUCACUCCAUAUUUCACAAAAUCCACUCCCAACGGCCAUCAGCUACACGCUCACCCUCCUACUCACCCUUAUCCUCUCUCACUCAGACUCCCUCACAAAAAACACACUCCCUCACGCUAAUCUGAAACAAACCUCACACUACUCUCACUAUUCACUCUGUCUCUCGCCUCCACUCUCACUCACAAACCCUCAACACUCAGUAAACCCUUCAUCUUCCUCAUCGUCUCAACACCUUCACCCUUCUCAUUGUCGAAACCUCCGUUCCAUCUUCUCAACGAAACCGCCCACAAAAACCUCUGGAAAUCCCCAAAACCCAUCUUCGACCUCUUCAAAACCCAGCCGCCGCUUAACACCACUCAACCUUUAACCUUCACAUAAACCCUUCUUCUUCCUUCCGCCGUCCACCUCAACCACAAAAAUCCGUCUGAAAUCACCUUCAUUCGCCAUCACUAAACUACACCUUCGCCACCUUCAACCCUAAUCGCCGCACCUCACGACCUCUGACCGCGAGCUCGCCACCACCCACCACCACGAAACCCAUUCCUCCGUCAAACCCCUAAACUCGCCCCCUUCACCGUUAACCUUCCGUCGAUCCACUUCCAAACCGCGACUUCAAGUCGACAACCCUCAUCUCACCGCCGUCACCUCCUUGGGUAUCUCCUCCUACCUCAUCUCAACCUAAACACUCUUUCUUUUCCAACCUCCGUUAACCAACAUCUUAUAUCCACUCAAACAACCCACCACCGAGUAAGCUUUCAUCGCAAUAACACAAAAUCCCUGGUCCAGCAGCGAACUCGUCAACUUUCUUCCAAGUUUGGCAGGUGUGAUCAGCAAUCGAUUUGGUCCUAAGUGGAUUUACGGCGAUAAACAUUAGAGCGCUUGAUUCUAUGUGUUAGAUUUGUGUCGCCGGUCUCGCGCGAUCUAUGUACAUUCGACAAGCGUGCUGCGUUCUUUGGUUUGUGUAUGUUUGUGGUUAGUUACUGGUUUUUAUAUCAGUUGGAUUUGGCGUAUUAAAAACAACAACAACGUUCCCCAGCUGCCUCUUAACAACAAACUCAAACAGCAACAUCAAACGAUUUGUAGUAACAAAGGAACGCUUUCGUAACAACUUCAAGUUUCUUCCAAUCUAUUGUUUGUGUCUGUGUGACAAAUUUCAUUUUCAUUUCAUGUACAAUUUUGACGAAAUCGUAGGUUGAAACUAGUAUGUUGAUUAUGGUUGUGUGUUUAUGAUCAUUUCAAUUUUUGUUGUGCAUAUGCCGAGUUGCGGAUCUUAUUUGAAUGUCUGUUUGAGUGUAUGUUUAAAACGUAAUUUUGUUGAAAUUGUGGAUUGAAGUUGGUGUUAUUUUAUUGCUGUUAGAUUUCUUGAGUCCAGCAAGAUUUCGCAACAAUCCUGUAUGUGAUUAUAAGGUACCGCGCUUUAUGAUCCGUUGGGAUUAUAUUGGUAGCUAUGUAAGUAUGAAAAUAGAGUUUUGUAUUAUUGUCUUAUGCUUGCAUGAUUUAGUUAAUGGAUUCGACGACUCAUGUCGAUAUGCCACCAGCAGUUGAAUAAAGUAAUUGAAUAUUUCACCGUGUUUUCAUUUUCGCAUACGACGUUUUAAUGGUCGAUAUGUAUAAACCGGUUCCGAGAACAUCCGCAUCAACACAUAUAGAUUAAAUCAAUAUUAAUGUCUAUUUUCCUUCUCUUUUGAUUAA